rnacentral:rRNA from 1 species
ACGGGUGAGUAAUGCUUGGGAAUCUGGCUUAUGGAGGGGGAUAACUACGGGAAACUGUAGCUAAUACCGCGUAGUAUCGGAAGAUGAAAGUGCGGGACCGUAAGGCCGCAUGCCAUGAGAUGAGCCCAAGUGGGAUUAGGUAGUUGGUGGGGUAAAGGCCUACCAAGCCUGCGAUCUCUAGCUGGUCUGAGAGGAUGGCCAGCCACACUGGAACUGAGACACGGUCCAGACUCCUACGGGAGGCAGCAGUGGGGAAUAUUGCGCAAUGGGGGGAACCCUGACGCAGCCAUGCCGCGUGAAUGAAGAAGGCCUUCGGGUUGUAAAGUUCUUUCGGUAUUGAGGAAGGAGUGUAUGUUAAUAGCAUACAUUAUUGACGUUAAAUACAGAAGAAGCACCGGCUAACUCCGUGCCAGCAGCCGCGGUAAUACGGAGGGUGCGAGCGUUAAUCGGAAUAACUGGGCGUAAAGGGCACGCAGGCGGUUAUUUAAGUGAGGUGUGAAAGCCCCGGGCUUAACCUGGGAAUUGCAUUUCAGACUGGGUAACUAGAGUACUUUAGGGAGGGGUAGAAUUCCACGUGUAGCGGUGAAAUGCGUAGAGAUGUGGAGGAAUACCGAAGGCGAAGGCAGCCCCUUGGGAGUGUACUGACGCUCAUGUGCGAAAGCGUGGGGAGCAAACAGGAUUAGAUACCCUGGUAGUCCACGCUGUAAACG